rnacentral:misc_RNA from 1 species
GAUUCAAGAACAGAUAUGGAAAAAUAUUGGCUUUUUUGAUGAGAAAUGGGAAAGGAAAAGCCUUCGUGAGAAAGGGGAUGACAUAUUCCAUGUAUUGAGUAGAAAGAAGUUUGUAUUAUUGUUGGAUGACAUAUGGCAGCGAGUUGACCUUGGAGAGAUUGGGGUUGCUCUGCCUACAAGACAAAACAAGUCCAAGAUAGUAUUCACUACACGAUCUCGCAGAGUAGGCAGGCAAAUGGACGCUGAAAAGAUGAUAAAAGUGAAGCCUUUAGAAUGGGAAAAAGCUUGGGCGUUGUUUCAGCUGAAGGUUGGGUGUAUUGAUCCUAAUUUUCUUCCUCUGGCUCAAGAUGUUGCUA